rnacentral:rRNA from 1 species
AACGAACGCUGGCGGCAUGCCUAACACAUGCAAGUCGAACGGGACCUUCGGGUCUUGUGGCGCACGGGUGCGUAACGCGUGGGAACCUGCCCUUAGGUUCGGAAUAACUCCCCGAAAGGGGUGCUAAUACCGGAUAAUGUCUUCGGACCAAAGAUUUAUCGCCUUUGGAUGGGCCCGCGUUGGAUUAGCUUGUUGGUAGGGUAAAAGCCUACCAAGGCGCCGAUCCAUAGCUGGUCUGAGAGGAUGAUCAGCCACACUGGGACUGAGACACAGCCCAGACUCCUACGGGAGGCAGCAGUGGAGAAUAUUGGACAAUGGGCGAAAGCCUGAUCCAGCAAUGCCGCGUGAGAGAUGAAUGCCUUAGGGUUGUAAAGCUCUUUUACCCGGGAUGAUAAUGACAGUACCGGGAGAAUAAGCUCCGGCUAACUCCGUG